UAGGGAAUAUUGGACAAUGGGCGCAAGCCUGAUCCAGCCAUGCCGCGUGAGUGAUGAAGGCCUUAGGGUUGUAAAGCUCUUUCGGCGGGGAAGAUAAUGACGGUACCCGCAGAAGAAGCCCCGGCUAACUUCGUGCCAGCAGCCGCGGUAAUACGAAGGGGGCUAGCGUUGCUCGGAAUCACUGGGCGUAAAGCGCACGUAGGCGGUCUUUUAAGUCAGGGGUGAAAUCCUGGAGCUCAACUCCAGAACUGCCUUUGAUACUGGGAGACUUGAGUCCGGGAGAGGUGAGUGGAACUGCGAGUGUAGAGGUGAAAUUCGUAGAUAUUCGCAAGAACACCAGUGGCGAAGGCGGCUCACUGGCCCGGUACUGACGCUGAGGUGCGAAAGCGUGGGGAGCAAACA
rnacentral:rRNA from 1 species